rnacentral:rRNA from 1 species
UACGAAGGGAGCUAGCGUUGUUCGGAAUCACUGGGCGUAAAGCGCACGUAGGCGGAUGUGUCAGUCAGGGGGUGAAAUCCCGGAGCUCAACUUCGGAACUGCCUUUGAUACAGCACGUCUUGAGUCCGAUAGAGGUGGGUGGAAUUCCUAGUGAUAGAGGUGUAAAUUCGGUAGAUAUUGGGAGGAACACCAGUGGGCGAAGGCGCUCAGCUGGACCGGUACUGACGCUGAUGCGCGAAAGCGUGGGGAGCAAAACGGG